rnacentral:rRNA from 1 species
GACGAACGCUGGCGGCGUGCCUAACACAUGCAAGUCGAACGGAGAUAUGAUUUCGGUUAUAUCUUAGUGGCGAACGGGUGAGUAACGCGUGAGCAACCUGACUCUUAGAGGGGGAUAACACCCGGAAACGAGUGCUAAUACCGCAUAAGACCACGACCUGGCAUCAUGAAGAGGUCAAAGGAGCAAUCCGCUGAGAGAGGGGCUCGCGUCCCAUUAGAUAGAUGGCGGGGUAACGGCCCACCAUGUCAGCGAUGGGUAGCCGAGCUGAGAGGCUGAUCGGCCACACUGGAACUGAGACACGGUCCAGACUCCUACGGGAGGCAGCAGUGGGGAAUAUUGGGCAAUGGGCGCAAGCCUGACCCAGCAACGCCGCGUGAGGGAAGAAGGCUUUCGGGUUGUAAACCUCUGUCCUUGGUGACGAAACAAAUGACGGUAGCCAAGGAGGAAGCCCCGGCUAACUACGUGCCAGCCGCCGCGGUAA